AUUGAACGCUGGCGGCAGGCCUAACACAUGCAAGUCGAACGAGUGGCGGACGGGUGAGUAAUGUCUGGGAAACUGCCUGCUGGAGGGGGAUAACUACUGGAAACGGUAGCUAAUACCGCAUACCAUCGGAUGUGCCCAGAUGGGAUUAGCUUGUUGGUGGGGUAACGGCUAACCAAGGCGACGAUCCCUAGCUGGUCUGAUAGGAUGACAAGCCAACCUGGAACUGAGACACGAUCCAGACUCCUACGGGAGGCAGCAGUGGGGAAUAUUGCACAAUGGGCGCGAGCCUGAUGCAGCCAUGCCGCGUGUAUGAAGAAGGCAUUCGGGUUGUAAAGUACUUUCAGCGGGGAGUCGUUACCCGCAGAAGAAGCACCGGCUAACUCCGUGCCAGCCGCCGCGGUAAUAC
rnacentral:rRNA from 1 species